rnacentral:lncRNA from 1 species
CCUUAAAUUUGAUUUGUCACAAAAAGUUAGUGCAUCAUAUAGUUUUUGAAAUUCAAAUAAUACUAGGUGUUUUUCUGCACCAUGUACAAUGAUAAAUUUUUUUAAAGUUAAAUUAUAUUUAAAAUGAAAUUUAUUAAUAUUAUAUAUUUUAUUAUUUUUGACUAAUAUUUAAUAUAAAGUUGACUAUUUUUGAGACUAUAAUGUUUGCUAUUGUGAUCAACACCUUUUUGCAGUACUUUGUUUGUAUCUUUUUUUAUUAGUCAUCUUUUUGUUAUUUUUUUCUUUUUGGUAAAAUGAUUGAAAAAAAGACUGAAGCUAAAAUUAAUCUGAUUAAAAAAAAGACUGAAGCUAAAAUUAAUAUUUUUGUUCUUGAUCAUUCACGUUAUCUUCAAAGUUAAUAACAUAGCCAACGUAAAUGAUCGACGUUGAGAUUUCAGCUUUUCUGAUUUUUACUAUUCUAAUGUUCAAUAUAAUUUGAAUAUUCUCUUUGUUUUAUAACAUAAUGGUUUAAAAAUAUUUUUUUUUUCAC